CAACCCCUGUGAACAUACCUAUACGUUGCCUCGGCGGAUCAGCCCGCGCCCUGUAAAAAGGGACGGCCCGCCCGAGGACCCUAAACUCUGUUUUUAGUGGAACUUCUGAGUAAAACAAACAAAUAAAUCAAAACUUUCAACAACGGAUCUCUUGGUUCUGGCAUCGAUGAAGAACGCAGCAAAAUGCGAUAAGUAAUGUGAAUUGCAGAAUUCAGUGAAUCAUCGAAUCUUUGAACGCACAUUGCGCCCGCCAGUAUUCUGGCGGGCAUGCCUGUUCGAGCGUCAUUUCAACCCUCAAGCUCAGCUUGGUGUUGGGACUCGCGGUAACCCGCGUUCCCCAAAUCGAUUGGCGGUCACGUCGAGCUUCCAUAGCGUAGUAAUCAUACACCUCGUUACUGGUAAUCGUCGCGGCCACGCCGUAAAACCCCAACUUCUGAAUGUUGACCUCGGAUCAGGUAGGAAUACCCGCUGAACUUAAGCAUAUCAAUAAGGCCGGAGGAA
rnacentral:rRNA from 1 species